rnacentral:rRNA from 1 species
UACGGGGGGGGCCAGCGUUGUUCGGAAUCAUUGGGCGUAAAGGGCGCGUAGGCGGCUUGGUAAGUCCGUUGUGAAAUCCCUCGGCUCAACCGAGGAACUGCGACGGAUACUGCUUGGCUUGAGUCCCGGAGAGGGUAGCGGAAUUCCCAGUGUAGCGGUGAAAUGCGUAGAUAUUGGGAGGAACAUCGGUGGCGAAGGCGGCUACCUGGACGGGUACUGACGCUGAUGCGCGAAAGCUAGGGGAGCAAACAGG